UUUCUCCCCUCGCUCUACUUCAAUUCCCGAGAGCCUGAAAGUAUACUACAUUUUUUGUCUUAUUGACCAUUUGUAUGAAAUAUUGGAAGUGACUUUUGAAAUUAAAAUCGAUGUUACUAAAAGGGACGGUAAUUGGCGGUUGUUUUUUUCUUUUUAAUUGAAAGUACAGACUCGGAACUUUCAUUUUUUUAUAGUAAGAGGGCUAAGCAAGGCAAAGCACAUAAAGUUUUUUUCCAUCAAAAAAUGAAAAGUUGAUAUUUUUUAGUAUCAUUUUUGAAAAAUUAUAAAAAUUAUCUUACUUUGCCAAUUUCAAUAAAUUUUUUUUUAUAAACAAGUAGGUGCUAUAUUUUCACUAAAAAAUAAAAGAAAAGCCAUAGCUAUAAACUUACACACAAAAAAAAGAAUCUUUAUUUGGACAAUUAUUUUAAUCUGAUUUUAUUGAAUAACUUUCCGUCGAAUUCUGUUAGUUUUUUUAACUAUAAAAUUUCACUUUUUAUAAAAAACCUUGUUGAAUUUUUCUUAUCCAAAUAUUUCUUUACAAAACAAAAUCAUUAAAGUUUUGAAAUUGGAAAGUGGAAAAAUCCUAUUUUUUCCGCCGAAAUGCCACUGUGCAUCGCACUUAUCCCUCACUCUUUUUACAGCGAAACAUUCGACACAUUUUCGAUACGCUCGUUUAUUUGAUGAGUUGUUGCUUGCUCACUAUCGUGCAUACACGUACGCGUUUAUAAACUAUAUGUUUGCAUUAUUUUUUGCGAACUCGGUGCAAUUAUAUACCCCGUCUUUUUUAACUAUGAUUUUUAUUGCAACAAUUUGAUUCACAAAUUUUAUUACGAAUACGUGGUGAGAACGGGGUGACACGAUGACAUGCACAUGUCGAAGUUGCGAAAUGUCAUUGCUCAAAGUGGAAAUGACAGAAAAGUGAUAGCAUAUCGUAAAUUUUAAAAUGGCUGGAGGUAGCUAAACGGGUAUUGACAGGUAUGGUAACGCUCAAACUGGUGUUAUAUUUAUGAGGUUAAAGCGAAAUAAAUUCGAGCCACUAUAAAUAUUCGCCCCAAUCCAACACAUCCACUGAUAUAGUGAUUGACUAAAAAGAGCAAAGCAAAUGUGUAAAGCUAUUUAUGCCAACAACUGACAAAUUAUCACAUACAUCUUCACACACUCAAAAAAAUAAAUAAAUAAAAGCAAUUGGAAAACUAUAAUGUGAAAUCUAGGACAUUCAUCAGAAAGUCGAGAACUACGAAAACACAACCAACCAACGACAAGACACUAUGCCUCUUGAAUUCGGAACCAUGUCAGAUUUUUAAAGCAUUAAUGAGCAUUGGCAGCAGGCAGUUCCUCAACAGAGUUUAAUGGUUACAUGAAUCCGAAACAAAAUAAGUGGACCAUAAACUCACUUCAAUACCUACUUCGUCUGAAUCCGAAUAGGUAUUACAGUUACAGUAUAGGGCAAUGCUAGACAGAUGUUGACUUAACUAUUGCAUCUCGAAAAAAAACUAGUAAAUUAAAUCUCAAAAUACGAGAAAUAUUGCUCUCAAAUAAUAAGACGAGGUUCCUUUUUUGUUUCUAGAGAUCUUACUGGCGUCGUUGAAAUAUCGGAAAGCUCAGUGAAAAUUAUUUUGAAAGUACAUGUGAGUCUAAAAAACUUUACGGUGGGUGCCAAAAUCAGUAAACCGACGGGGCAUUUCUUUAUUUCUUUUUGAUUGCGCUAACUGCAUUACUGUCAUAGCUGGUGGAGAGAAAAAAGUAUGCCCAAUCGUACACGUGUAUUUAAAUGUAUAAAUGUAGGUGUAUGUUAGUGCAGUGGUGGUGGCAAUGCAACUAAUGCGGAACGUUGGAAAUAUCCCGGAGUGCAAUUAAGAUAUUAACGAACUGUUUGCAAAUUCUGCAGAAAUGCAAAAAAAAACAUGUCCAUGUAAAUAUAUUGUAAC